CUGUUAUCCGCCAACGUGAAUCAGCUACGCAACCUUCUAGAUUCUUCGAACACCCAGCCGUAUUACUACUUCAACUUGACCCUAAUCGCCGCUAGCAUUAUUCUGCAAAUCGCUGUGGGCGUUGGCAUCAUCAUGAACAACUUCUACAAAGUCAU